rnacentral:rRNA from 1 species
GACGAGCCACACGAACGUUAUUCGGAAUUACUGGGCUUAAAAGGGUGCGUAGGCUGCGCGGAAAGUUGGGUGUGAAAUCCCUCGGCUCAACCGAGGAACUGCGCCCAAAAACUGCCGUGCUCGAGGAAGAUAGAGGUAAGCGGAACUUACGGUGGAGCGGUGAAAAUGCGUUGAUAUCGUAAGGAACACCUGUGGCGAAAGCGGCUUACUGGGUCUUUUCUGACGCUGAUGCACGAAAGCUAGGGGAGCAAACGGAGUUA